rnacentral:rRNA from 1 species
UGGGGAAUAUUGGACAAUGGGGGCAACCCUGAUCCAGCCAUGCCGCGUGAGUGAUGACGGCCUUAGGGUUGUAAAGCUCUUUUCUCCGGGACGAUAAUGACGGUACCGGAGGAAUAAGCCCCGGCUAACUUCGUGCCAGCAGCCGCGGUAAUACGAAAGGGGGCGUAGCGUUGCUCGGAAUCACUGGGCGUAAAGGGCGCGUAGGCGGCUGAUUUAGUCGAGGGUGAAAAGCCCGUGGCUCAAACCCACGGAAAUGGCCUCUGAUACUGGUUGGCUUGAGACCGGAAGAGGACAGCGGAACUGCGAGUGUAGAGGUGAAAAUUCGUAGAUAUUCGCAAAG